rnacentral:misc_RNA from 1 species
AAGUCGUAACAAGGUUUCCGUAGGUGAACCUGCGGAAGGAUCAUUACUUGGCCUUGGGCCGCUCACGGGAGACCGUCGCUUGCGGCGGCGCUCUCGAGGGUGCUUAGCCCUUGAUCACUACCUUGACUAUGCGCACCUUUGUUGUUCCCUCGGCAGGACGCUUCGCGUUCUGCCGCAAGGAACCCCUUAAACCUUUUGCAAUGAGCAUUAAACUUCUGAAACAAACCUAAUUAUUUACAACUUUUAACAAUGGAUCUCUUGGUUCUG